CACGUAGGGGGCAAGCGUUGUCCGGAUUCAUUGGGCGUAAAGAGCUCGUAGGCGGUUCGAUAAGUCGGGUGUGAAACCUCCAGGCUCAACCUGGAGACGCCACCCGAUACUGUCGUGACUAGAGUCCAGUAGGGGAGCGUGGAAUUCCUGGUGUAGCGGUGAAAUGCGCAGAUAUCAGGAGGAACACCGAUGGCGAAGGCAGGUCUCUGGGCAUUAACUGACGCUGAGGAGCGAAAGCAUGGGGAGCGAACAGG
rnacentral:rRNA from 1 species